rnacentral:rRNA from 1 species
CUAAGAAUAUUCCGCAAUGGACGGAAGUCUGACGGAGCGACGCCGCGAGGAUGACGAAGGCCGAAAGGUUGUAAAGUUCUUUUGCUGGGGAAGAAUAACCGCAGGAGGGAAUGCCUGUGGGAUGACAAGAACCGGCGAAUAAGCCCCGGCCAACUACGUGCCAGCAGCCGCGGUAACACGUAGGGGGCGAGCGUUGUUCGGAAUUACUGGGCGUAAAGGGCAUGUAGGCGGCUUGGAAAGCCUGGCGUGAAAGUCUGCAGCUUAACCGCAGGGGGGCUCUGGGAAGUGCUGAGCUGGAGUGACGGAGAGGGAGCUUGAAUUCCUGGUGUAGGGGUGAAAUCUGUAGAUAUCAGGAAGAACACCGAUGGCGAAUGCAAGCUCCUGGCCGAUGACUGACGCUGAGGUGCGAAAGUGUGGGGAUCAAACA